rnacentral:rRNA from 1 species
CUGGCUCAGAUUGAACGCUGGCGGCAGGCCUAACACAUGCAAGUCGAGCGGUAGAGAGAAGCUUGCUUCUCUUGAGAGCGGCGGACGGGUGAGUAAUGCCUAGGAAUCUGCCUGGUAGUGGGGGAUAACGUCCGGAAACGGACGCUAAUACCGCAUACGUCCUACGGGAGAAAGCAGGGGACCUUCGGGCCUUGCGCUAUCAGAUGAGCCUAGGUCGGAUUAGCUAGUUGGUGGGGUAAUGGCUCACCAAGGCGACGAUCCGUAACUGGUCUGAGAGGAUGAUCAGUCACACUGGAACUGAGACACGGUCCAGACUCCUACGGGAGGCAGCAGUGGGGAAUAUUGGACAAUGGGCGAAAGCCUGAUCCAGCCAUGCCGCGUGUGUGAAGAAGGUCUUCGGAUUGUAAAGCACUUUAAGUUGGGAGGAAGGGCAGUAAAUUAAUACUUUGCUGUUUUGACGUUACCGACAGAAUAAGCACCGGCUAACUCUGUGCCAGCAGCCGCGGUAAUACAGAGGGUGCAAGCGUUAAUCGGAAUUACUGGGCGUAAAGCGCGCGUAGGUGGUUCGUUAAGUUGGAUGUGAAAUCCCCGGGCUCAACCUGGGAACUGCAUUCAAAACUGACGAGCUAGAGUAUGGUAGAGGGUGGUGGAAUUUCCUGUGUAGCGGUGAAAUGCGUAGAUAUAGGAAGGAACACCAGUGGCGAAGGCGACCACCUGGACUGAUACUGACACUGAGGUGCGAAAGCGUGGGGAGCAAACAGGAUUAGAUACCCUGGUAGUCCACGCCGUAAACGAUGUCAACUAGCCGUUGGGAGCCUUGAGCUCUUAGUGGCGCAGCUAACGCAUUAAGUU